rnacentral:lncRNA from 1 species
CUACACUCAACUUGCCGUUGGCGUUGAUGGGACUCCACACCCUUAUGUGUGUUUUCGCUGAGACUUAUGAGGUAUAUAUUAGUUUUAUGUUAUUUAUACAUGUGAUUGCACUUUGAUAUAUACAUUGAUGUACUGUGUGUGCCAGCAUACCGAUCCAGGGAUGGCACAGAUACACAGAGGCUUGACCGUUUGAGGUCGGGUCGCUACAAAAUGCAUGGGUUCACGACUAAGCUAGGUUUUGGACAAUGUUACGUCCUUCCAAUCAAUUAAUCAUUUUCUUUUCUAAGCGCAUACAGGUAGGAGGUGAAAAUAUCUACCAAUUUAUCACCGUAUCUCUUUUCUUGCUUAUACUCCAUGUGUUCCUAAAUAUAAGUCUUAGAGAUUUCACUAUAGACUACAUACGGAGCAAAAUGAGUGAACGUAUACUUUAAGAGGCGGCUAUAUACAUCCGAAUGUAGUCUCUAUAGUAGAAUCUCUAAAAAGACUUAUAUUUAGGAACGGAGGAAGUAUAUCGCAUGAAAUAUGCGGGAUGCAGUUGUGGCACAUUAGUUUCACCAUAAAAUUUCAAAUUAAGGCCUCCAUGGAGCUUGACCUCUAUUAGGAAUUGCCUAUGCAUGUUGUUAUUUUAAUUUUAGUCCUUUUCCCUAGCAAUUCGGCAUGUCUCAUUCUUUUUCAUCACCGAUUACAGAUAAAUGACAGAAGAGAGAAUGUCACAUGAAAAUCACUAGAAAAGGUUAUUUUGGGCAUAGCUAAUUAAUCAGGUGGGCAUCAGGGCAUGUGAAUCCAGAUUAGAUGGAUGUUCAACUGCUACAUCACUUCUAUCAUUGUAUGCUUACUAUCCUAACGUCAUGACUGGAGAUGGCAGGUUUGUGGGGGAGAUGUCCCAUGACAGCACAAUCCAGUGCAUAAUUGCUUUAGCAGCCGGAAAAAGAGUCAAGAUGCAGUGAUGCAACAUCAAGUGAGAAAUGGCAUGGUAGGAGCAAUUGCGGGGCCAGAUGCGAG